rnacentral:lncRNA from 1 species
UGGGGCAGAAACUGAAGCUCAUAGGACAGAUGAUGAGUUCUACGAAUCAAAUGACGAUCUCUAUGGGGCUGGGCUCAGCUCUGUGGGGCACAGCUGGGUUCUAUGGGGCAGAGCUGGGUUCUAUGGGGCAGAGCUGCAUUCUAUGGGGCAGAGCUGCGUUCUAUGGGGCAGAAACUGAAGCUCAUAGGACAGAUGAUGAGUUCUACGAAUCAAAUGACGAUCUCUAUGGGGCUGGGCUCAGCUCUGUGGGGCACAGCUGGGUUCUAUGGGGCAGAGCUGGGUUCUAUGGGGCAGAGCUGCAUUCUAUGGGGCAGAGCUGCGUUCUAUGGGGCAGGGGCUGCAUUCUAUGGGGCAGAGCUGCGUUCUAUGGGGGAGAGGCGGGCGCAGUGGGGCAGAGGCGGGCGCAGUGGGGCAGCCCCCCAGCACGUACCACUCCUCAUCCUUGUGCGCCAGGAAGAAGUCCUGCAUCUGCUGCCUCCUGAAGUCCAGCUUGUAGUCGUUGUAGCGCUUCACCGCCUCCGUCUCGUCCACGGCGUCGUCCAGCGACAGCAGGAACUCCUUGAAGCUCUUCAUCACGGGGGGGGCCAUCCCCAAAUCCACCUCCGCGAUGUUCCCCAGUCUGCUUGGGGGGGAGUGCGGGGCGUCACGACCCUCCCCCCUUGCGCCAGGAGGACCCGCACUCCCCGUUAG